rnacentral:misc_RNA from 1 species
AACGCACGAGACCUGCGGACCUGCGGAAGGAUCAUUAAUGAAUUACAAAAGUCGUUCGAUUGUGCUGGCAUAACCCUGCAUGUGCACAUCGUUCGGCAAAUAUCCACACACCUUGUGCACACCUAGACCACAGAGCGGUUCGUCAGGACUUCGGUCUUGACUCGAGCAGUUCUGCUGGUACUUUUUCACACACGCUUGUAUGUGAUUGAAAGUCUCUAGUGCUUCAGCACUGAUAAUAAU